rnacentral:rRNA from 1 species
GACGUAGGGCGCGAGCGUUUGUCCGGAUUUAUUGGGCGUAAAGAGCUCGUAGGCGGCUUGUCGCGUCGUCCGUGAAAACUUGGGGCUCAACCCCAAGCUUGCGGUCGAUACGGGCAGGCUAGAGUUCGGUAGGGGAGACUGGAAUUCCUGGUGUAGCGGUGAAAUGCGCAGAUAUCAGGAGGAACACCGGUGGCGAAGGCGGGUCUCUGGGCCGAUACUGACGUGAGGAGCGAAAGCGUGGGGAGCGAACAGG